GAUUGAACGCUAGCGGCAGGCCUAACACAUGCAAGUCGAGGGAGAGGUUAUCUUCGGGUAACCAAAACCGGCGCACGGGUGCGUAACGCGUAUACAAUCUGCCUUUCACAUAGGGAUAGCCCGAAGAAAUUUGGAUUAAUACCUAAUGGUAUAUAAGAGCGGCAUCGUUUUUAUAUUAAAGCUACGGUGGUGAAAGAUGAGUAUGCGUUCUAUUAGCUAGUUGGAGAGGUAACGGCUCCCCAAGGCGACGAUAGAUAGGGGUUCUGAGAGGGAUGUCCCCCACACUGGUACUGAGAUACGGACCAGACUCCUACGGGAGGCAGCAGUGAGGAAUAUUGGACAAUGGUCGGAAGACUGAUCCAGCCAUGCCGCGUGCAGGAUGAAGGUCCUAUGGAUUGUAAACUGCUUUUGUAAGGGAAGAAUAAGGAGUACGUGUACUUUGAUGACGGUACCUUACGAAUAAGCAUCGGCUAACUCCGUGCCAGCAGCCGCGGUAAUACGGAGGAUGCGAGCGUUAUCCGGAAUCAUUGGGUUUAAAGGGUCCGUAGGCGGGCUGAUAAGUCAGAGGUGAAAGCGCUUAGCUCAACUAAGCAACUGCCUUUGAAACUGUCAGUCUUGAAUGAUUGUGAAGUAGUUGGAAUGUGUAGUGUAGCGGUGAAAUGCUUAGAUAUUACACAGAACACCGAUAGCGAAGGCAUAUUACUAACAAUUUAUUGACGCUGAUGGACGAAAGCGUGGGGAGCGAACAGG
rnacentral:rRNA from 1 species